rnacentral:misc_RNA from 1 species
GAAUGGGGCUAAGCUACCUCUAAUGUACACUUCUACUUCUAUUCUCAUUGGUUAUACGUGUUCAUUAGUAUUCUACUCAUGUUUUGUUGUUCUUUAAACAAAACAAUUGAACUUCAAUGUCAUUGUGACUUUUGUUCGUGUUUAUUUAAUCGGAUUCUUUACAGAACAGCACUCAUCAAACAGUUUUCAGAAGAGUCUACCAAUGUUGCUCCUCGUCGAGGGCUAAAUUAAGUGUAUUAUUAUCAUCUGUGAUUACAAUAUUGUUAUCGAAUUUACUUGCAUAUUUUUGCUGAAUUCAAUUGCUAAAGAUGACUUCACGUAUAAAGCCUCCUGUGUAUGUACUCUCUGAGAUACCAGGCUUAAUAGAAUGCUUGAAAAGUGCUGAAAUGGCUGAAAUAAGAUCUGCAAAAACAUCAGAUUUGCAUGAUAUUAAGAAUGCUGAAGUUGCAGUUUGUGAUGGUGCCUUACUUGCAAAUGCGUAUAAAUCCAUGCCAAAUUUAAAAUGGGCACAUUGUACAUGGGCUGGUGUUGAUCCAGUGAUAAAAAGUAUACCAGAGAAGCCACACUUUGUGCUGACCAGGCAUGGUGGUGAAGCUUUCAGUAGACUUAUUGCUGAAUAUGUUGUGUGCCAAAUUCUGAACUGUGAGAGGAAUUUCAAAGCAUAUAUCAUUGCUCAAGAAACUGAGACUUGGCUUGACUCGGACGUUAUUCGAUAUUAUCGAUCUUUAGAUGAAUUAAAUGUUGGUAUUUUAGGAGUGGGGAACAUGGCAUGUGGAGUUGCCAAAUUUCUAAAAAGUAGAGGCACCACAGUAUUUGGAUUUGCACGAAGUCUUCUUCCUAAACGCAGAAACUCUGAUUUAUUUGAUAAGAUAUAUACAAAUAUUGAUGAAAUGUUGCCAAAAUGUGAUUAUUUAUGCAACACACUACCAAGUACAGAUCUCACAUCUGGAAUGUUAAAUGAUGCUGUUCUGAAAAAAUGCGUCAGGAAACCUGUAUUCAUAAAUGUUGGUCGAGGAAGUAUUAUCUCUGAAAAAGAACUCAUUAGAGCUCUCAGGAAUGAUUGGAUAUCAUGUGCUGUCUUGGAUGUUUUUGAGCAGGAACCUCUGCCUCAGUCCAGUGAACUAUGGAAAAUGUCUCAGGUCAUCAUAACCCCUCAUGUUUCUGCAUACUCCAAACCUGAUCAUCUAAAAUAAGGGGAAGUACAUUAGAAGAAAGAAAAUUAGUCAUUAAUUUGAUGAAAGAAGAGAAAAGCUGCUGUGAAACUGGAAAAUUUUUAGGUUACAGACUUCUUCUUCAAAAACUACAAACGUUAUGUCCAUGAAGAGGAGAUGGAAAAUGUUGUGAACUGGUCAUUUGGUUAUUAAUUCUAAUUGUUUUGCCAAAAUGCUGUGUCACAUUUUUAUAUGUGUGCGUGUGAAAAUUUUUUAUCUACUGUUAUAGCCUAUUACGUUUUUUUAUCUGUUAUGAAAAUUUUAUCCACUUUCAUAGAGAUUAUUUUUGAAGAAUUUAUGUAACAUGAAAUAACAUAAAAAUAAACUAUUUUUCUUUGAUUUCA